rfam:Octopus bimaculoides Scaffold42562_contig_224, whole genome shotgun sequence.
UCUAACUUCAGCUGUACAUAUAGAAAAAAUUGGAACAAUACGGAGAAGAUUAGUAUGGCCCCCUGCAUAAGGAUGACACGCAGGUGCAGGUGUCGAUAUCUAGGUGC